rnacentral:rRNA from 1 species
UACGUAGGGGGCAAGCGUUGUCCGGAAUCAUUGGGCGUAAAGAGCGUGUAGGCGGCCAGGUAGGUCGGUUGUGAAAACUGGAGGCUCAACCUUCAGAGGUCGACCGAAACCAUCUGGCUAGAGUCCGGGAGAGGAGAGUGGAAUUCCUGGCGUAGCGGUGAAAUGCGCAGAUAUCAGGAGGAACACCGAUGGCGAAGGCAGGUCUCUGGGCCACUACUGACGCUGAGAAGCGAAAGCAUGGGGAGCGAACAGG